rnacentral:rRNA from 1 species
UACAGAGGGUGCAAGCGUUAAUCGGAUUUACUGGGCGUAAAGCGCGCGUAGGCGGCUAAUUAAGUCAAAUGUGAAAUCCCCGAGCUUAACUUGGGAAUUGCAUUCGAUACUGGUUAGCUAGAGUGUGGGAGAGGAUGGUAGAAUUCCAGGUGUAGCGGUGAAAAUGCGUAGAGAUCUGGAGGAAUACCGAUGGCGAAGGCAGCCAUCUGGCCUAACACUGACGCUGAGGUGCGAAAGCAUGGGAAGCAAACAGG